AUUUUAUUUUCCCCCUUUUUUAACAGGGUUUUAAAUUGAAUUUUAAAUUGGGUUUUCUAUGCGUAUUAUGAUUUUUACGUGGAGUUGUUAAAAUUAAAUAGUUAAUAAUAUAUUUUGAUUGAUUUUUCCUAAUUAUAUAUGAAAAUGAUGGAUUUUGGGAAUUUUAUUUUCAUAUUUAAUUAUGAAGUAAUCAAGAAAACAGAGGAAGUAGUUGUCUUCUUUCAAUAUAUGCUAAAAAUCUAUAAUUUAUUUUUAUGUUCUAACCGUGUAUCGCACGACACUAACCUAGUGUAUUUUAUAAGCAUAAAAUGAAACAAAUCUAACAAGAUUUCACAUGACUGUUUUUUUUUUUAGCAAAUUCAAGUUUAUAACUCUAAGAAACAAACGACAUUUAUCAAGGGGCCUUUAAGUACUUUCUUGUGUAAAGUUGUGUUUCCUGAUGCAUGACAUCUAGUGUAGGAACUUGGUCGGAAUGCGAAAAGGAAAAGGAUUAGUGAUAAGGUAUUGGUUGAACUUUGGUUUAUGAGUACAUAAUACUUUUGUAUUUUGAAGUUUGUGUUAUGAACUUUGUAUUAUGUACUUACUGUGAUGAAUCUUGAAGUUUGUGUUAUGAACUUUGUGUUAUGUACUUAUUGUGAAGAAUCUUGAACUUUGUUUUAUGAAAAGGGUGGGAGGGAGAAGAGUGGCGAGAUUGGACCGCUGUAUCCAGAGCUGUUUAAGGUAAUUGUCUGAUUGUGAAUGCAUUUUUCUGUGUUUGGUUGGUGGUCUACAGUGUUUGACUGCAUAUGUGUGUGCAGCCUUCAUUGUUGUUGUACGUAUUUGUGAAUUUGAAGGAUGAUCGCAUGAGAAUUAGUGGGUUAGUAAAAGCUAGUGGUGAAGUGUUGAAACAUCAUUCAAUUGGUACCUCUAAGGUUUGUGUUCUUGUAUUUUCAAGUAAAUGACGUAAUUUGGCUUUAAUAGAAUAGUAAUGUAGGAUUAUGUGCAAGCUCCAAACUUAACGUGUCGCAUAUUGUCAUUCGGUAGAAUUUGUCAGAAGUUUAAUGGGAGACAUAGGCUCUGGUUAACUGAAAUGGGGUUUGGGGGUCUAUUACACCUCGCUUCCUCAGGGAUGCAGUUGCCUAGGGAAUUAGCAUAUUGGCUACUGACUCACGUUGAUCCGGUUAGCAAAAUUCUAAUUUCCCCGGAUGGGAAAGAAUUUAGUUUGUCCGCAAACCAAGUGUAUUAUGUCUUAGGAAUUCCAAAUGGUGGGAAGCCAGUUCCUACGAAGAACAACAUGACCUCUGAAAUGAAGGACAAGGUUGAAGCAUUACUGAGUCAGUAUGGUAGUUCGUGGGAAACUAGGUGUAGUAGAUAUGAAGGGCGGGUCUACACUAGUAAGGGUAUAUAUGUUAAUCAUGAGUUAAUGGAAAGACUUGAGGGUGAAUGGAUGGAUGGAUGGUGAGGAAGUUAAAUUUAAGACUUUAUUUCUAUUAAUGUCUCUACAUAUGGUUCUAUGCCCCACCCAAUCCCCUGGACUCUCGGCGGAUCUUGUUCCUGCGUUAACAUGUACACAAGAGUGUAAUGAAUAUGAUUGAUGUGGGUUGGUUGUGUCGAAGUUAUUUUGUAGUGUGACAACAUUUGCCCGCCAGGUUUUAUGCCAAAGGUUCUGCUGGAGGAUGUGGAGGAUGCUUGUUAUUCAUUGUGGUUUUGUAUUAGACCGGCUGAAUAAGGUUCCAUUGCAGCGAGGAAUGUUUCCUAGGCUGAAGGUGUGGAAUAUGCAAGAGAUCAAGUCUAUUGCUAGCCUGGAUCGACAGUUUCCUACUAAUGAUUGAUGUGGCAUACGGAGAAGACCAUCCGAGGGAGACUCUGUAUAGCAAUGGUCCUAGUGUGAUGUACAACCAGGGGACGAGGAAAUUCCAUAUACAUUUAAAGCACCUAAGGCAAGGAGGAUGAGAUAUGCUGGAAUUCCUUGUUUUGUUAGAACCCGAUAUUCUAUAGAUAUGUCCGGCCCAACAUAUGAUUUUGACGCGUUUCGCAUUGGCAAUGGAAACAACUUACCUAAUGGUGGAGAAUGAAUGACCACCAUGGUUGUGCUUUACAAGGAGGGGUUUUUCCCGUAUACUGAGUUUAUCUUUCUAGUUGGAUGACAAAAGCGGCUGUUAUUGUAAUGUACCAUUAAGAUUCACAUAUUUAUUGGUGUUCCAUAAUUGGAUUAUCUGUUGAGUAAAGGGUGGGUUCCAAGGAGGAGUUGCGAGAGGAUUUGGCCUGCUUGUUGGGAUUAAAGAUGGAGAAGGGGUUGGGGAUGGGGCAUCGAUGUCCUGCACGGGUGAAGGGUUAUAUGUUUCAUAAUUUGAAACCAUUUUCUAGAGAGGGUUUGGGGAAGGAGGAUCCAAUGUUCUAGUGUUUGAGAACAGGGGACAAAGAGGGUUUGAAGAAGAAGGAUUGAGGAUAAUUCGAAGAACGUUUGUGAAUUGGGCCGUUUAGUAUGCCUGGGCCAAAAACAGUAAUUCGCAUAAUGGUCGAAAAUGAGCUGGGUCUUUUAUAUGGGUUAUGUUAGACAAUUUUUUGGCUUGGGCUUUAUUAUCUACAAUGUUUACAAUGUAUGAAAAUCGUGGAAUUAUUCCUCCACAAGUACUAAGAGAAGUAUUUGGCAUAAGUUUAGUGGAUCCUUUUGGAAAUGGCCAGUUUGUCAAGCCAAGGGCUCAUUCAAAGAAUUUUGGCAUUUGUUUAUGAACACUUUCGAUAAAUGGAUAAUUCGUACGUUGGACUGGCCCAUUUCAAAACAUGUUAAGAUUACAAACAUUACAUAUAUGGCACUGAUAAAAGACAAAACGAACUUACUAAUGAGAAACUUACUAUUGACAACACUAACUUACUAAUGACAUUCUUACUAAUAAGCUAAGAUGUUACAACAUUCAUUGAGUUGUCUUCUAGAUCAUUGUUGACGGAUAAAUUCUUAGAAUGGAUAACUAGCAACACCCCUCCAAAGACACCAUACUCAGAUCUUCAGGUUGAUUUGUAUAUGUUCACAUCGCUACAGAUGAAACGGCCCAUACGGACAAAAGAUCUAGUCUCGGUCAACACAAUUAAAUCAGGCAUGUGUAGGUCAAGCAUGCUCAAAUUGGGGUAGAAAUGAGGACCUUGCUACAUCUCUGCAAUUCGAAACCAUAACCCUCGUACCCCCCAUUCUUUGAGAGUAUCCUUUGUAUGGCUAUCUUCAAAGCAGCUGGUAAGUGUACCAAAUCUAAUAGAUCUGGUAAGUGAAUUGGGACGAUGGAGUUAUUCUUUAGUAAUAACAGGUCGUCAGCUGGUCGUUGGCCAGUGGCUAUCCAGGAAGCUGCAAUUGAUGCAGUGAUCAUCUCUACACUAAUUGACUGAAGUUCUCCUUUCUAUAUUGGCUGUAUAAUAGCCA